rnacentral:rRNA from 1 species
GAGCACCGCUGGGUAGCUAUGUACGGAAGGGAUAAGCGCUGAAAGCAUCUAAGCGUGAAGCCCCCCUCAAGAUGAGAUUUCCCAGUAUGUAAGACCCCUUGAAGACGACGAGGUAGAUAGGUUGGGGGUGGAAGUGCAGUAAUGCAUGGAGCUGACCAAUACUAAUCGGUCGAGGGCUUAUCCUAAA